rnacentral:rRNA from 1 species
ACGGGAGGCAGCAGUGGGGAAUAUUGCACAAUGGGGGAAACCCUGAUGCAGCGACGCCGCGUGAGCGAAGAAGUAUUUCGGUAUGUAAAGCUCUAUCAGCAGGGAAGAAAAUGACGGUACCUGACUAAGAAGCUCCGGCUAAAUACGUGCCAGCAGCCGCGGUAAUACGUAUGGAGCAAGCGUUAUCCGGAUUUACUGGGUGUAAAGGGAGCGCAGGCGGUAGUAUAAGUCUGAUGUGAAAGGCCGGGGCCCAACCCCGGGACUGCAUUGGAAACUAUACAACUAGAGUAUCGGAGGGGCAAGUGGAAUUCCUAGUGUAGCGGUGAAAUGCGUAGAUAUUAGGAGGAACACCAGUGGCGAAGGCGGCUUGCUGGACGAUAACUGACGCUGAGGCUCGAAAGCGUGGGGAGCAAACAGGAUUAGAUACCCUGGUA